rnacentral:rRNA from 1 species
GUCCACGCCCUAAACUAUGGAUGCUAGCUGUGAGGAGUAUCGACCCUCUUCGUAGCGAAGCUAACGCGUUAAGCAUCCCGCCUGUGGAGUACGAGCGCAAGCUUAAAACAUAAAGGAAUUGACGGGGACCCGCACAAGCGGUGGAGCGUGUUGUUUAAUUCGAUGGUAAGCGAAGAACCUUACCCAGACUUGACUUCCUUGUCGUCGUUCUGUGAAAGCAGAAUUUUCAUUUAGUUGGACAAGUGACAGGUGUUGCAUGGCCGUCGU